UUAAUAAUCAAGGAAUCACAAAACUAUUUAGAACAACCGUUUACUAUCAUUUUAACUUUAAUUUACCAUAACAAGGAAAAGAUUGAGGGAUUCUUAUACUGGGUCAAAGUCUAGAACACCGCCUUUUUCAACUUCGUGGUAAUUCUCGGCUAUUGGAUUUCUUGGGUUUUCUUGUAAAAUUUGAACACACACAUCAAAACAACGUGAAAAUACAUAACGAAUGGUGACAAAGGGUAGAAAAACUCACCAAGUUCGGGUUGGGGUUU
rnacentral:lncRNA from 1 species